rnacentral:rRNA from 1 species
UUGAGAGGAGCUGCUCCUAGUACGAGAGGACCGGAGUGGACGAACCUCUGGUGUACCGGUUGUCACGCCAGUGGCAUAGCCGGGUAGCUAAGUUCGGGAAGGAUAACCGCUGAAAGCAUCUAAGCGGGAAGCCAGCCUCGAGAUGAGAUAUCCCGACCGUGAGGUCUUAAAGGUUUGUUGAAGACGACGACGUUGAUAGGCAGGGUGUGGAAGCGCAGUGAUGUGUGAAGCUAACCUGUACUAAUUGACCGUGAGGCUUGGUUAU